UCUUCCAGGUCACCUUGCUCCAGCAAACAGAGGAAAAGAUAUUUAUGUCGCCAUACUCCUGGCUUUUCUUCCUAACAGCUCUCCUACCUAAUAUUUAAGUACAGGCAGGUGCCAUUUAACAGAAUGCUUGCAAGGAGGUGAGGGGAAUAAUCAGCUUUCACCUUGAAACACGGCUCUCAAAAGAGAAAUCAUCACUAUCACAGCCAACAGGGAACGUCUGUGAAGACAGUGGCUGAAAUGUGAAAUGAAGGCGACUGUGCAGGUUCACAGCGAGCAGGCGACGGGCCAGCUAAUGAAUCAACACCACACAUGGAGGAGGCCAGAGGUGUGGAGCAGAAGCGAUACACUGAGGACUCUCGAUUCAACGGGUGAUGAAUUCCUCAAACGACGACCCUGCCCCAUGGUGGACGCGGCGGCCUUGAGAGGAAAACCAUUGCUUGACCUUCGACUAGGUUCCUGAUCCACUGCGGCAGGUUCUGGGUUGUGUAGUGAACCAAUACACUGGAGACAACAAGGCUGUUUUCAACGAGCUCACGUCCCUGAGGAAAUUUUGUUUAUAACAAGGAGAAUGCCGCACAUCUGGGAGAAUACAUCUCUACUAUUCGAAGCAACAGCAUUUGUGGUCAUUUAUUCCAGUAGCUCAAAGAAACAACUACAAUGUGCUACAUAAACAAAGUGCCUGGCUUCUGCUGUGGCUGGUGACCGGACGCUGAUACCGAAUGCUCCUCCUGGGCUACGAGGAAGCUGACAACUAGACAGCGGAAUGUCAAGUCCAUCUGUAAGCACCAGUGAGCCAUCAGCUCACCACCAAGGAGGCCUCCAUGAAUUUCCAGUCCCUGGUGGAAGCAAGCUCUCAUCCAGAACCCUAGAUCUUACCAGAGGCUCCUUGUUUGUGUAUCCUGCAUAUUCUGUGUAAAACAGCUAGGAGGCAAGUACGUAAAACAUCUGUAGCGAACUUCUGCUGCAGGACUCCGGGGUUCUCCCACUGUGCUGUGAGCCUGUAUUAAGGCCUCUUCCUUCCUUUAAUAAACGGCACUCUACUGAGAUGAAUGACCCGCUAUCUUGUCUGUUUUUAAUCCUCAGUCCCUCGCUCAGACAUGGUGAACGGUGGUAGUGCAGGUGCUACAGCCUUGAACUUACU